rnacentral:rRNA from 1 species
GACCGGGAUAACCCUGGGAAACUGGGGAUAAUACUGGAUAGGCAAUUUUUCCUGUAAUGGUUUUUUGUUUAAAUGUUUUUUCGCCUAAGGAUGGGUCUGCGGCCGAUUAGGUAGUUGGUUAGGUAAUGGCUUACCAAGCCGUUGAUCGGUACGGGUUGUGAGAGCAAGAGCCCGGAGAUGGAACCUGAGACAAGGUUCCAGGCCCUACGGGGUGCAGCAGGCGCGAAACCUCCGCAAUGUGAGAAAUCGCGACGGGGGGAUCCCAAGUGCCAUUCUUAACGGGAUGGCUUUUCAUUAGUGUAAAGAGCUUUUGGAAUAAGGGCUGGGCAAGACCGGUGCCAGCCGCCGCGGUAACACCGGCAGCUCUAGUGGUAGCAGUUUUUAUUGGGCCUAAAGCGUCCGUAGCCGGUUUAAUAAGUCUCUGGUGAAAUCCUGUAGCUUAACUGUGGGAAUUGCUGGAGAUACUAUUAGACUUGAGACCGGGAGAGGUUAGAGGUACUCCCAGGGUAGAGGUGAAAUUCUGUAAUCCUGGGAGGACCGCCUGUUGCGAAGGCGUCUAACUGGAACGGUUCUGACGGUGAGGGACGAAAGUUAGGGGCGCGAACCGGAUUAGAUACCCGGGUAGUCCUGGCCGUAAACGAUGCGGACUUGGUGUUGGGGUGGCUUUGAGCUGCUCCAGUGCCGAAGGGAAGCUGUUAAGUCCGCCGCCUGGGAAGUACGGUCGCAAGACUGAAACUUAA